ensembl:lincRNA
UGCUUUUUAGGGGCUCCCUUUGGAGUUCCUUGAUCUACCUUUCAUGUCUUGUAACUGUCUUUUCAUGUUUUUAAAAAUCAUAGUCUGUGUCUCUGUAUGCUGAAUCCUGGGCAAGAGUUUCUCAGGACCAUCUUCAAAUUCACAAAUUCAUUCUUUGUGUUUAGUUUAGACUACAUAGUCAACUGACCAGUGUUUUUUUUUUUUUAAUCCAUCAAAAAAAUUUUAUUGGAGAAAUUGUGACUGAGAAAUAGUAAGAUGCCUUGGAAUUGAACACAAGCAUCUAAAAUAAGAGCAGAGUUCAGGAUUGUUGUAAUUGUGUGUGUGUUCUUUAGUUCUUAUGACAUCCAGUUUUUCUCACACCACUUCCUAAAGACUUUCUUUUCCCUGUGGAAUCACCUUGUCAGUUUUUCUUUCUUUCUUUCUUUCUUUUUUUAUAUAAAGUCAGUUGAUUGUGGAAGUGUGAACCUAAACCAUUAAGUUCACAGUAUUUUUUUUAAAUAGCAAAAAUAACUAGAAAAGUUCUGUGUUUUCUUUCUUAGUUAUUCUUUUUCUCUUUGUGCAUUGGCUUGUAUACUUUCUAGUUCACUUAUUCAUUUUCCUGCUAUUGCAGUUUGCUGAUAAGUCCAUUGAAAUAAUUCUUCAUUUCCAUAUCAUGUUUUUCAAAUCUGAUACUUGUAUUCAGAUUUUUUUUUGAAUUUUCUUUUCACUGCUGCUCAUGCACAGCAAUUUCUGUAUUUUUUUUAACCAUUUCCUCUCUUAAAGUUAGGUCACAUGCUCUUGCUUUUUCACUUACUUACAGUUUUUUUUUUUUAAUUGAAUCGGAGAUAUUAUGUAUAAAAUGAUAGUAUGAACUAUAAGUAAAUAGUAUUUAUGCCCAUAAUGGUCAUAUAUCUUCUUUGUCAGGCCACUAGUGUGAAGGAUUGAGCCAAUCUAGGCUGCAGUGGACCGGGUUUAGGCUUUGCUUUUAUUCUCAUUAGAUGUUACUAUCACAGUCUCAAAUUACUUAAAAACAGGAGCAGGUCCUUCUCUUUCACAGGGAUUGGGGUCUGAUUGCCUCAGGAUCUGCUCUCAACUUUCCUCUCCGCCCUCAGCCUUCAGCAGCAUAGGAGAAAGCUCUCAGGUCUCCUGCCUCUCCCCGCAGUAGCAGGUGGCCAGUCUGCGCUUUUUAUAGGUUUACACCUAAAGUAAGAUGAUUUAUAAAAGCUAAAGAUAAGAGGUAUGUAGAAUGAGACAUCAACAAAACAGAAACAAAAGCUAGCAUGGAGCAAUAAAAAGUAAUGAGCUAUCAAGCACAGAAAGACAUGGAGGAAAUUUAAAAGCAUGUUGCUAAGUGAAAGAAGCCAAUCUGAAAAGGCUGCAUUGUAUACGACAUUCUGGCUGAGGCCAAGCUGGAGACAGUAAGAUCUGUGUUUACACUGGGUUGAGGGGAGGAGAGGAGGAUACAUAGGUGGAACACAGAGGGGUUUUAGGGCACUGAAACUCUUCUGUAUGACACUAUAAUGAGGGACACAUAUCAUCAUAUUUGGUUAAAUACAUAGAAGGUACAACACAAAGAGUAAGCCCUAAUGUAAAUGAUAGAUUUUAGUUAAUAAUGUAUCAAUAUUGAUUAAUCAAUUGUAACAAAACAAAUCCCACAAAGAUGGAAAUGAGGGCAACUGUGGGAAUUCUGUAUUUUCUGACCUAUUUUUC